rnacentral:pre_miRNA from 1 species
GACAUCAAGAUGCUUGUGAUUAUGCGAAAAUGUUGGGACAUAUCACAGUUUACUUGCUGUCGC